UAUAUAUAUGUACAGUACUUACAGCGCCCUCCAUAUUGUUUCGGACAGACGCAUCAUUUAUUUAUUUGCCUCUGUACUCCACAAUUUGAGAUUUGUAACAGAA